CACUGCAACACUGAGAGCUGCCUCGUGGAGAAAGUUUGGAGCAAACAAUAGACUGUUUCCCUGGUUUCAUUUCUGUUUCUAAGUUUCUCUUUGAGUUUAGUCGCGUGUUUAUGUUACAAAACAAUGAACUGUCAUCUGUGACUGAGGUUAAGCUGCAACAGCUAUUAUUGAUUGUCGCCAUCAGAGGACCAAGAUGAAGGUGUGGCGAUGACAGGAUCAACACCAUACCAUGGUCAGCAGAAAGGAUGGAGAUGGAGGGACACCUCUGAUACUGUUACGUGAAGAACAAACAGCAGCGUCGUUGGACAUUUGCAAAGUCCUACGGUCAAGACAUCAAGACAUCACAUCCUGCUCUUCUCAGACUGGGAAUCAAGCCUUACAUCUGUCCACUUUUGAAACAGCUUGAGCAGGUGCUUCAGUGUCUCUAAUCAGGACAACAAACCCAAGCUGAGACUCAGAUCCUCAGCAUGAUGGAGAGCUGCAGAAACCCACAGACUGUCCCUUCUAGUGUCUCCAGGACGAUCACGAUGUCUGGGCCUCUUCUCUCAGACGGGACAGACUCUGUCCUCACUGCAGCCCGGAUGGCCCGCAGAGGAUGGACGGACAACGAGAAGACCACCAAGUGGCAGUUCUCCCACAUGAACAGCUCACCUCUUCAAACGCCUGCUUCAAGUCCAGACAAAAACCAGGUUCAAAUCCGUGUUGAGGUUUUUCUGAAGGACGCUAAGAGAAGACAGAUUCCCAUCUUAAACAGCAGGACGACGGCUGAGGACAAAGAGAAUGAAAAAACAAAAGAAGAUAAAGAGACGAGUUUAGGUGCAUUUUUAUCGAAGAGACAAACAAAUACAACCACGGUUAGAGAGAAACAGAAGAUUGUCUGUGGUCAGGCGGGCGUCAUUUAUGUCUGGUCGUCUGGCUGUCGCACCAAAAGCAGAGCGUUCAGAAGGUCUAAGCCCCCCAUGCUGCCUGUGAUCGCUGAAAUAUGAUAUAAUGAGUUUAAGGAGAGCUAGCAUUUGGUUAUGCUUUAACCUGGUGUAAAAAAGAGAGCAGAAAUCUAGUCGACUAUAACCAAACCAGGAAAGAAGACAUGGAUGUCAUGAAGAUUUUUGUUGGACCAAAUAAAUGGAUAAAUUUAUUUAUGAUGCACCAUGUUGAUGCUGAUUUUGUUCAUUAAAAUAACAAAAUGAAAA